AGGGUGGAAACCAUUUCAUUGCUGCUGGGCUCCUGGGGCCUAGAUCAUUGUCUGAGAUAAAAAUAACCGCUACUUUGAAGACUUACUCUCAGGACCAAAUAGGAUCAUAGCUGUGACAAGUGUUUUGUGACCACAGACAGCUCCAGCUCUGUGCCGUUACUAGGAUCCUGGGCUGAUGAGAAACCAUCUCCAGCUAAGAGAUUGUGAUUGACCACUGAGUAGCUGCCCAAGUUGAGACGCUCUGCUCAGCCCCCAGCCUGACAGGACAAUUGGCCCACACUGCCCCGGAGGCUGCUGGGCAGGAGCUGGUAAUUGACAGAGAACUCAUUAUCGAAGGACAGAGCCUCUGAGCAUGCUGGGAAUUGGAACUGACAGAGCCCAAGGGCCUGGGAAUCGGAUCACUGGGAAGAGACAGCCCAAGUGUUGUGUGUCCUGGACGUACAGAGGAAAAUAAAGUUUCAGAAAUUGCUCGGCACUAAAAGAGAGCUCUGGUAUUGAAAGCCAUCUCUGAUCCGCUCUCCAUGUGGCUUUGGGCAUGCAAUUGACCUCUGUGAGCUUCAGUUUUGUCACCUCCAAAAUAGAGAUGACAAUAAAUCUUUUUCGUGGAGUAAGAAAUAAGGAUGCUGUAACUAUGACAUUGAUGAUCAUCAUUAUAACAACUAGCAGCUAUUUCACAUCCUCCAGAUGCCAGAGACCAUUUGAAGAGUGCUAAAAAUGGGCCAGGCACAGAGGCUCACACCCGUAAUCCCAGCGUUUUGGGAGGCCCAGGCAGGAGGGUCGCUUGAGCCCAGGAGUUUGAGAAUAGCCUGGGCAACAUAGUGAUAACCCUCCAUCACUACAAAAAAUCAGAAGGGUGUGGUGGUGCACACCUGUAGUCCCAGCUACAAGGGAGGCUGAAGUGGGAAGAUCGCUUGAGCCCAGGAGUUCAAGGUUGCAUGAAGGAGUUCAAGGUUGCCAUGAUCACACCACUGCACUCCCGCCUGGGCUACAAAGCAAGAUCCUCUCUCAUAUAAAAUAAAAUAAAAAUAAUAUUAAAAUGCAAAAAAAAAAAAAAA
rnacentral:lncRNA from 1 species